AGCGUACACGGUGGAUGCCCUGGCAGUCAGAGGCGAUGAAGGACGUGCUAAUCUGCGAAAAGCGUCGGUAAGGUGAUAUGAACCGUUAUAACCGGCGAUGUCCGAAUGGGGAAACCCAGUGCAAUUCGUUGCACUAUCGUUAACUGAAUACAUAGGUUAACGAGGCGAACCGGGGGAACUGAAACAUCUAAGUACCCCGAGGAAAAGAAAUCAACCGAGAUUCCCCCAGUAGCGGCGAGCGAACGGGGAGCAGCCCAGAGUCUGAAUCAGCUUGUGUGUUAGUGGAACGGUCUGGAAAGUCCGACGGUACAGGGUGAUAGUCCCGUACACCAAAAUGCACAGGCUGUGAACUCGAAGAGUAGGGCGGGACACGUGGUAUCCUGUCUGAAUAUGGGGGGACCAUCCUCCAAGGCUAAAUACUCCUGACUGACCGAUAGUGAACCAGUACCGUGAGGGAAAGGCGAAAAGAACCCCGGCGAGGGGAGUGAAAAAGAACCUGAAACCGUGUACGUACAAGCAGUGGGAGCACCUUCGGGUGUGACUGCGUACCUUUUGUAUAAUGGGUCAGCGACUUAUAUUCUGUAGCAAGGUUAACCGUAUAGGGGAGCCGCAGGGAAACCGAGUCUUAACUGGGCGUUAAGUUGCAGGGUAUAGACCCGAAACCCGGUGAUCUAGCCAUGGGCAGGUUGAAGGUUGGGUAACACUAACUGGAGGACCGAACCGACUAAUGUUGAAAAAUUAGCGGAUGACUUGUGGCUGGGGGUGAAAGGCCAAUCAAACCGGGAGAUAGCUGGUUCUCCCCGAAAGCUAUUUAGGUAGCGCCUCGUGAACUCAUCUUCGGGGGUAGAGCACUGUUUCGGCUAGGGGGUCAUCCCGACUUACCAACCCGAUGCAAACUACGAAUACCGAAGAAUGUUAUCACGGGAGACACACGGCGGGUGCUAACGUCCGUCGUGAAGAGGGAAACAACCCAGACCGCCAGCUAAGGUCCCAAAGUCAUGGUUAAGUGGGAAACGAUGUGGGAAGGCACAGACAGCCAGGAUGUUGGCUUAGAAGCAGCCAUCAUUUAAAGAAAGCGUAAUAGCUCACUGGUCGAGUCGGCCUGCGCGGAAGAUGUAACGGGGCUAAACCAUGCACCGAAGCUGCGGCAGCGACACUAUGUGUUGUUGGGUAGGGGAGCGUUCUGUAAGCCUGCGAAGGUGACCUGUGAGGGUUGCUGGAGGUAUCAGAAGUGCGAAUGCUGACAUAAGUAACGAUAAAGCGGGUGAAAAGCCCGCUCGCCGGAAGACCAAGGGUUCCUGUCCAACGUUAAUCGGGGCAGGGUGAGUCGACCCCUAAGGCGAGGCCGAAAGGCGUAGUCGAUGGGAAACAGGUUAAUAUUCCUGUACUUGGUGUUACUGCGAAGGGGGGACGGAGAAGGCUAUGUUAGCCGGGCGACGGUUGUCCCGGUUUAAGCAUGUAGGCUGGUUAUCCAGGCAAAUCCGGAUAAUCAAGGCUGAGGUGUGAUGACGAGGCACUACGGUGCUGAAGUAACAAAUGCCCUGCUUCCAGGAAAAGCCUCUAAGCAUCAGGUAACAUCAAAUCGUACCCCAAACCGACACAGGUGGUCAGGUAGAGAAUACCAAGGCGCUUGAGAGAACUCGGGUGAAGGAACUAGGCAAAAUGGUGCCGUAACUUCGGGAGAAGGCACGCUGGUGUGUAGGUGAAGUCCCUGCGGAUGGAGCUGAGACCAGUCGAAGAUACCAGCUGGCUGCAACUGUUUAUUAAAAACACAGCACUGUGCAAACACGAAAGUGGACGUAUACGGUGUGACGCCUGCCCGGUGCCGGAAGGUUAAUUGAUGGGGUUAUCCGUAAGGAGAAGCUCUUGAUCGAAGCCCCGGUAAACGGCGGCCGUAACUAUAACGGUCCUAAGGUAGCGAAAUUCCUUGUCGGGUAAGUUCCGACCUGCACGAAUGGCGUAAUGAUGGCCAGGCUGUCUCCACCCGAGACUCAGUGAAAUUGAACUCGCUGUGAAGAUGCAGUGUACCCGCGGCAAGACGGAAAGACCCCGUGAACCUUUACUAUAGCUUGACACUGAACAUUGAGCCUUGAUGUGUAGGAUAGGUGGGAGGCUUUGAAGCGUGGACGCCAGUCUGCGUGGAGCCAACCUUGAAAUACCACCCUUUAAUGUUUGAUGUUCUAACGUUGGCCCCUGAUCGGGGUUGCGGACAGUGUCUGGUGGGUAGUUUGACUGGGGCGGUCUCCUCCCAAAGCGUAACGGAGGAGCACGAAGGUUAGCUAAUCCUGGUCGGACAUCAGGAGGUUAGUGCAAUGGCAUAAGCUAGCUUGACUGCGAGCGUGACGGCGCGAGCAGGUGCGAAAGCAGGUCAUAGUGAUCCGGUGGUUCUGAAUGGAAGGGCCAUCGCUCAACGGAUAAAAGGUACUCCGGGGAUAACAGGCUGAUACCGCCCAAGAGUUCAUAUCGACGGCGGUGUUUGGCACCUCGAUGUCGGCUCAUCACAUCCUGGGGCUGAAGUAGGUCCCAAGGGUAUGGCUGUUCGCCAUUUAAAGUGGUACGCGAGCUGGGUUUAGAACGUCGUGAGACAGUUCGGUCCCUAUCUGCCGUGGGCGCUGGAGAAUUGAGGGGGGCUGCUCCUAGUACGAGAGGACCGGAGUGGACGCAUCACUGGUGUUCGGGUUGUCAUGCCAAUGGCACUGCCCGGUAGCUAAAUGCGGAAGAGAUAAGUGCUGAAAGCAUCUAAGCACGAAACUUGCCCCGAGAUGAGUUCU
rnacentral:rRNA from 1 species